UUAAGUUAUUAAGGGCGCACGGUGGAUGCCUUGGCACUAGAAGCCGAUGAAGGACGUUACUAACGACGAUAUGCUUUGGGGAGCUGUAAGUAAGCUUUGAUCCAGAGAUUUCCGAAUGGGGAAACCCAGCAUGAGUUAUGUCAUGUUAUCGAUAUGUGAAUACAUAGCAUAUCAGAAGGCACACCCGGAGAACUGAAACAUCUUAGUACCCGGAGGAAGAGAAAGAAAAUUCGAUUCCCUUAGUAGCGGCGAGCGAAACGGGAAGAGCCCAAACCAACAAGCUUGCUUGUUGGGGUUGUAGGACACUCUAUACGGAGUUACAAAGGACGACAUUAGACGAAUCAUCUGGAAAGAUGAAUCAAAGAAGGUAAUAAUCCUGUAGUCGAAAAUGUUGUCUCUCUUGAGUGGAUCCUGAGUACGACGGAGCACGUGAAAUUCCGUCGGAAUCUGGGAGGACCAUCUCCUAAGGCUAAAUACUCUCUAGUGACCGAUAGUGAACCAGUACCGUGAGGGAAAGGUGAAAAGCACCCCGGAAGGGGAGUGAAAUAGAACCUGAAACCGUGUGCUUACAAGUAGUCAGAGCCCGUUAAUGGGUGAUGGCGUGCCUUUUGUAGAAUGAACCGGCGAGUUGCGAUUUGAUGCAAGGUUAAGCAGUAAAUGUGGAGCCGUAGCGAAAGCGAGUCUGAAUAGGGCGUUUAGUAUUUGGUCGUAGACCCGAAACCAGGUGAUCUACCCUUGGUCAGGUUGAAGUUCAGGUAACACUGAAUGGAGGACCGAACCGACUUACGUUGAAAAGUGAGCGGAUGAACUGAGGGUAGCGGAGAAAUUCCAAUCGAACCUGGAGAUAGCUGGUUCUCUCCGAAAUAGCUUUAGGGCUAGCCUCAAGUGAUGAUUAUUGGAGGUAGAGCACUGUUUGGACGAGGGGCCCCUCUCGGGUUACCGAAUUCAGACAAACUCCGAAUGCCAAUUAAUUUAACUUGGGAGUCAGAACAUGGGUGAUAAGGUCCGUGUUCGAAAGGGAAACAGCCCAGACCACCAGCUAAGGUCCCAAAAUAUAUGUUAAGUGGAAAAGGAUGUGGCGUUGCCCAGACAACUAGGAUGUUGGCUUAGAAGCAGCCAUCAUUUAAAGAGUGCGUAAUAGCUCACUAGUCGAGUGACACUGCGCCGAAAAUGUACCGGGGCUAAACAUAUUACCGAAGCUGUGGAUUGUCCUUUGGACAAUGGUAGGAGAGCGUUCUAAGGGCGUUGAAGCAUGAUCGUAAGGACAUGUGGAGCGCUUAGAAGUGAGAAUGCCGGUGUGAGUAGCGAAAGACGGGUGAGAAUCCCGUCCACCGAUUGACUAAGGUUUCCAGAGGAAGGCUCGUCCGCUCUGGGUUAGUCGGGUCCUAAGCUGAGGCCGACAGGCGUAGGCGAUGGAUAACAGGUUGAUAUUCCUGUACCACCUAUAAUCGUUUUAAUCGAUGGGGGGACGCAGUAGGAUAGGCGAAGCGUGCGAUUGGAUUGCACGUCUAAGCAGUAAGGCUGAGUAUUAGGCAAAUCCGGUACUCGUUAAGGCUGAGCUGUGAUGGGGAGAAGACAUUGUGUCUUCGAGUCGUUGAUUUCACACUGCCGAGAAAAGCCUCUAGAUAGAAAAUAGGUGCCCGUACCGCAAACCGACACAGGUAGUCAAGAUGAGAAUUCUAAGGUGAGCGAGCGAACUCUCGUUAAGGAACUCGGCAAAAUGACCCCGUAACUUCGGGAGAAGGGGUGCUCUUUAGGGUUAACGCCCAGAAGAGCCGCAGUGAAUAGGCCCAAGCGACUGUUUAUCAAAAACACAGGUCUCUGCUAAACCGUAAGGUGAUGUAUAGGGGCUGACGCCUGCCCGGUGCUGGAAGGUUAAGAGGAGUGGUUAGCUUCUGCGAAGCUACGAAUCGAAGCCCCAGUAAACGGCGGCCGUAACUAUAACGGUCCUAAGGUAGCGAAAUUCCUUGUCGGGUAAGUUCCGACCCGCACGAAAGGCGUAACGAUUUGGGCACUGUCUCAACGAGAGACUCGGUGAAAUCAUAGUACCUGUGAAGAUGCAGGUUACCCGCGACAGGACGGAAAGACCCCGUGGAGCUUUACUGUAGCCUGAUAUUGAAAUUCGGCACAGCUUGUACAGGAUAGGUAGGAGCCUUUGAAACGUGAGCGCUAGCUUACGUGGAGGCGCUGGUGGGAUACUACCCUAGCUGUGUUGGCUUUCUAACCCGCACCACUUAUCGUGGUGGGAGACAGUGUCAGGCGGGCAGUUUGACUGGGGCGGUCGCCUCCUAAAAGGUAACGGAGGCGCUCAAAGGUUCCCUCAGAAUGGUUGGAAAUCAUUCAUAGAGUGUAAAGGCAUAAGGGAGCUUGACUGCGAGACCUACAAGUCGAGCAGGGUCGAAAGACGGACUUAGUGAUCCGGUGGUUCCGCAUGGAAGGGCCAUCGCUCAACGGAUAAAAGCUACCCCGGGGAUAACAGGCUUAUCUCCCCCAAGAGUUCACAUCGACGGGGAGGUUUGGCACCUCGAUGUCGGCUCAUCGCAUCCUGGGGCUGUAGUCGGUCCCAAGGGUUGGGCUGUUCGCCCAUUAAAGCGGUACGCGAGCUGGGUUCAGAACGUCGUGAGACAGUUCGGUCCCUAUCCGUCGUGGGCGCAGGAAAUUUGAGAGGAGCUGUCCUUAGUACGAGAGGACCGGGAUGGACAUACCUCUGGUGUACCAGUUGUCGUGCCAACGGCAUAGCUGGGUAGCUAUGUGUGGACGGGAUAAGUGCUGAAAGCAUCUAAGCAUGAAGCCCCCCUCAAGAUGAGAUUUCCCAACUUCGGUUAUAAGAUCCCUCAAAGAUGAUGAGGUUAAUAGGUUCGAGGUGGAAGCAUGGUGACAUGUGGAGCUGACGAAUACUAAUCGAUCGAAGACUUAAUCAA
rnacentral:rRNA from 1 species